rnacentral:rRNA from 1 species
AUGAACGCUAGCUACAGGCUUAACACAUGCAAGUCGAGGGGCAUCAGGAAGAAAGCUUGCUUUCUUUGCUGGCGACCGGCGCACGGGUGAGUAACACGUAUCCAACCUGCCCUUUACUCGGGGAUAGCCUUUCGAAAGAAAGAUUAAUACCCGAUGGCAUAAUGAUUCCGCAUGGUUUCAUUAUUAAAGGAUUCCGGUAAAGGAUGGGGAUGCGUUCCAUUAGGUUGUUGGUGAGGUAACGGCUCACCAAGCCUUCGAUGGAUAGGGGUUCUGAGAGGAAGGUCCCCCACAUUGGAACUGAGACACGGUCCAAACUCCUACGGGAGGCAGCAGUGAGGAAUAUUGGUCAAUGGGCGCUAGCCUGAACCAGCCAAGUAGCGUGAAGGAUGAAGGCUCUAUGGGUCGUAAACUUCUUUUAUAUAAGAAUAAAGUGCAGUAUGUAUACUGUUUUGUAUGUAUUAUAUGAAUAAGGAUCGGCUAACUCCGUGCCAGCAGCCGCGGUAAUACGGAGGAUCCGAGCGUUAUCCGGAUUUAUUGGGUUUAAAGGGAGCGUAGGUGGACUGGUAAGUCAGUUGUGAAAGUUUGCGGCUCAACCGUAAAAUUGCAGUUGAUACUGUCAGUCUUGAGUACAGUAGAGGUGGGCGGAAUUCGUGGUGUAGCGGUGAAAUGCUUAGAUAUCACGAAGAACUCCGAUUGCGAAGGCAGCUCACUGGACUGCAACUGACACUGAUGCUCGAAAGUGUGGGUAUCAAACAGGAUUAGAUACCCUGGUAGUCCACACAGUAAACGAUGAAUACUCGCUGUUUGCGAUAUACAGUAAGCGGCCAAGCGAAAGCAUUAAGUAUUCCACCUGGGGAGUACGCCGGCAACGGUGAAACUCAAAGGAAUUGACGGGGGCCCGCACAAGCGGAGGAACAUGUGGUUUAAUUCGAUGAUACGCGAGGAACCUUACCCGGGCUUAAAUUGCAGUGGAAUGAUGUGGAAACAUGUCAGUGAGCAAUCACCGCUGUGAAGGUGCUGCAUGGUUGUCGUCAGCUCGUGCCGUGAGGUGUCGGCUUAAGUGCCAUAACGAGCGCAACCCUUAUCUUCAGUUACUAACAGGUCAUGCUGAGGACUCUGGAGAGACUGCCGUCGUAAGAUGUGAGGAAGGUGGGGAUGACGUCAAAUCAGCACGGCCCUUACGUCCGGGGCUACACACGUGUUACAAUGGGGGGUACAGAAGGCAGCUAGCGGGUGACCGUAUGCUAAUCCCAAAAUCCUCUCUCAGUUCGGAUCGAAGUCUGCAACCCGACUUCGUGAAGCUGGAUUCGCUAGUAAUCGCGCAUCAGCCACGGCGCGGUGAAUACGUUCCCAGGCCUUGUACACACCGCCCGUCAAGCCAUGGGAGCCGGGGGUACCUGAAGUACGUAACCGCAAGGAUCGUCCUAGGGUAAAACUGGUGACUGGGGCU